UACAGAGGGUGCGAGCGUUGUUCGGAAUUAUUGGGCGUAAAGCGCAUGUAGGCGGUCUGUUAAGUCGCGUGUGAAAUCCCCGGGCUUAACCUGGGAACUGCGCUUGUAACUGGCAAGCUUGAGUGUGGCAGAGGGGGGUGGAAUUCCACGUGUAGCAGUGAAAUGCGUAGAGAUGUGGAGGAACACCGAUGGCGAAGGCAGCCCCCUGGGCUAACACUGACGCUCAUGCACGAAAGCGUGGGGAGCAAACAGG
rnacentral:rRNA from 1 species